rnacentral:rRNA from 1 species
AGCGGAGGAAAAGAAACCAACAGGGAUUGCCCCCAGUAACGGCGAGUGAAGCGGCAACAGCUCAAAUUUGAAAUCUGGCCCCCCGCGGGCCCGAGUUGUACUUUGGAGAGGACGCUUCUGGCGCGGCGCCGUCCGAGUUCCCUGGAACGGGACGCCGGAGAGGGUGAGAGCCCCGUACGGGCGGCCGCCUAGCCUCUGCGAAGCUCCUUCGACGAGUCGAGUAGUUUGGGAAUGCUGCUCAAAAUGGGAGGUAAAUUUCUUCUAAAGCUAAAUACCGGCCAGAGACCGAUAGCGCACAAGUAGAGUGAUCGAAAGAUGAAAAGCACUUUGAAAAGAGGGUCAAACAGUACGUGAAAUUGUUGAAAGGGAAGCGCCUGUGGCCAGACUUGCGCCCCGCGGACCACCCGGCGCCUCGCGCGCCGGGGCACGCCAGCGGGGCGCAGGCCAGCAUCGGCUCUCUCGGGGGGACAAAGGCCGCGGGAACGUAGCGCCCUCGCGGCGUAUUAUAGCCCGCGGCGCCAUGCCCCCGGGGGGGCCGAGGACCGCGCUCCGGCAAGGAUGCUGGCGUAAUGGCCACCGGCGACCCGUCUUGAAACACGGACCAAGGAGUCAAGCAUUGGGGCGAGUGUCUGGGUGGCAAGCCCGCACGCGGAAUGAAAGUGAACGCAGGUGGGAGCUUCGGCGCACCACCGACCGAUCCUGAUGUCCUCGGAUGGAUUUGAGUAGGAGCCCCGCCGCUUGGACCCGAAAGAUGGUGAACUAUGCCUGUAUAGGGUGAAGCCAGAGGAAACUCUGGUGGAGGCCCGCAGCGGUUCUGACGUGCAAAUCGAUCGUCAAAUAUGGGCAUGGGGGG